rnacentral:rRNA from 1 species
GAUGAACGCUGGCGGCGUGCCUAACACAUGCAAGUCGAACGGACCCGAUCUUCGGAACGGGUUAGUGGCGGACGGGUGCGUAACACGUAGGUGACCUGCCCCGAAGUGGGGAAUAAUUCCGCGAAAGCGGGACUAAUACCGCAUGUGGUCAAGUGUUCGGUCAUUUGACUAAAGCUGCAAAGCGCUUUGGGAUGGGCCUGCGGCGGAUUAGGUAGUUGGUAGGGUAACGGCCUACCAAGCCGAUGAUCCGUAGGGGGCGUGAGAGCGUGACCCCCCACAUUGGCACUGAGACACGGGCCAAACUCCUACGGGAGGCAGCAGUGAGGAAUAUUGCACAAUGGGCGAAAGCCUGAUGCAGCAACGCCGCGUGAGGGACGAAGGCCUUCGGGUCGUAAACCUCUUUUCCGAGGGACGAGAUCAGGACGGUACCUCGGGAAUAAGUCUCGGCUAACUACGUGCCAGCAGCCGCGGUAAAACGUAGGAGGCGAGCGUUAUCCGGAUUUACUGGGCGUAAAGCGCACGCAGGCGGCUUCGUGAGUCGGACGUGAAAGCUCCUGGCUUAACUGGGAGAGGCCGUUCGAUACUGCGGGGCUUGAGGUUGGGAGAGGGGUGCGGAAUUCCCGGUGUAGUGGUGGAAUGCGUAGAUAUCGGGAGGAACACCAGUGGCGAAGGCGGCACCCUGGCCCACACCUGACGCUGAGGUGCGAAAGCGUGGGUAGCAAACAGGAUUAGAUACCCUGGUAGUCCACGCCGUAAACUAUGUCAACUAGGUGUUGGUAGUGUUACACUAUCAGUGCCGAAGCAAACGCGUUAAGUUGACCGCCUGGGGACUACGAGCGCAAGCUUA